GCGGGGCGCGCGGGACGUGCCGCCGCGUAGUCGCAGGCUGAAUGGGCGGCGGCAGAACAUGUGUGCUCCCUGAGGUUGCUGCUCGGCUGGGAUCCGAAGGUUGAAUGUCUCUCCGCAGCCGGACCGUGAAGCCGGCGGCUGCGAUAACGUGGCGGCGGCGAAGGCAGAGGGCAGCCGGAGACAGGCCGGGAGCCCCUUUCCGAGGCUGACGGCCCCCGGCUACGCGAGAGUCAUGGCAUCGCUGGCGGAUCGAGUACGGGGCAACGGGCGCAUCGCCGUCGGGCUCCUACUCAACCUGCUGGUGUCCAUCUGCAUUGUGUUCCUUAACAAAUGGAUCUAUGUCCACUACGGCUUCCCCAACAUGAGCCUGACCCUGGUGCACUUCGUGGUCACUUGGCUGGGCUUGUACGUCUGCCAGAAGCUGGACAUCUUUGCCCCCAAAAGUCUGCCGCCUUCCAAGCUCCUCCUCCUGGCCCUCAGCUUCUGUGGCUUCGUGGUCUUCACCAACUUAUCUUUGCAGAAUAACACCAUAGGCACCUAUCAGCUGGCCAAGGCCAUGACCACGCCGGUAAUCAUAGUCAUCCAGACCCUCUGCUACAAGAAAACCUUCUCCACCAAAAUACGGCUCACGCUGAUUCCUAUAACUUUAGGUGUAAUCCUAAAUUCUUAUUACGAUGUGAAGUUUAAUUUCCUUGGAACGGUGUUUGCUGCUCUUGGUGUUUUAGUUACAUCCCUUUAUCAAGUGUGGGUGGGAGCCAAACAGCAUGAAUUGCAAGUAAACUCGAUGCAGCUGCUAUACUACCAGGCCCCGAUGUCAUCUGCCAUGUUGCUGGUCGCUGUGCCCUUCUUUGAGCCAGUGUUCGCAGAAGGAGGAAUAUUCGGUCCCUGGUCAGUCUCUGCUUUGCUGAUGGUCCUGCUCUCUGGAGUAAUAGCUUUCAUGGUGAACUUGUCGAUUUAUUGGAUCAUUGGGAACACUUCACCAGUCACGUAUCCUUUUCUUAACAGUUCACAGAUGCAUAGUCUUUUAUAUUCUCCAAGACUCUGUCAUAUUGAUUUCUUUAUUUGAGUCUCACACUUACUGUUGCAUGGUCUAAAUUGAGUAGAGUGGGUUAUUUUUAGUCUUUAUGGAGAUUUAACAAACUGUGAACUGGGGAGGUGGGUUAGCUUUCUGUAUCGUAAAUGCUUUUGAAUUUUCUUAAGGAAUAGGUGAGCUUUUCCCUUACCAGAAUUAAUGCAGAGCACCAGUCCUUGCACAUAAACAUUUGUUGAGUGAAUAGUGAGGUAAAUACUUAGGUUUCCCAUCACCUUUCAGUUAUUGAUAGUUUGAUAAUAAUACAAAGGAGUGGUUAAUCUAAGUAAACAAUAAUUUCAGACCAGUCACUCUGACUUGUGAGUUUAUUUUUGUACUUGUCUGGCUGGGUGUGCCUGCUUUUCUCAGUAUUACUUCACAUCGAGAAGUGAAGUCAUGACUUGGGAAGAUCUUAAUCAAACGCAGCUGCCCCCUUUUAGCAUUUCGCUCAUAAUGAGUGAACGCUGAGCUGUCCACAAAUAUAGAAGCAGCAUUUGACAGCUAACAAUGAAUAACAGCAGUUCUAAUAGUAAUAAUUCAGAGGCGACAAAAACAACACUUACUAAAUGUUUCUUCUGUGCCCGGCACUGUUUGAAACACCUUCUGUGUAUUAACAUUUAGUUUUUAUAGCAGCUCAAUGAAGUAAAUUCUGUCUCUGUCCUGCCGAAGAGGGAGUGGAGGUGCAGAGGGGUUGAAUAACUCAUUUGGAGUCACCCGGCCGAGAAGUGUGAUGUCCAGGUUUGAACCUGGGUGGUCUAGCCAGGACUUAUGCUGCCAGAUCAAAGCAUCCAAGUGUGUGCCCUAACUAAGAACAUCCAUUCAUUCAUUCAGCAAAUAUUAACUAAAUGCCCACUGUAAACCAUUCCUUGACUUAGUAAAUAUUCACAUACUGAGUAUCAUUGCCUGUAUGUCAGGCAUUGACGAUACAGUGGUGAACCGAAGAGACGAAAAUCUCUGCUCUCACAGGCUUAAGUUCUGGGGAGAAAGGCUAUAAAGAAGAAAAAUGUGCAUAUGCAGUGUUAGAUAGUGUUAAGUGAUAAGGAGAAAAAGAUGAAGCAGCGAAGGGGUUGUGAAAUAUUGGGUGAAGUUUUACGGAAGGUAGUCAGGAGGGCCUCGCAAAACGGAUGCUUUUGCAUAAAGACCUGAAGGAAGUGAGGCUGCCCCACACAGAGUGGGGUGGAUAGCAUGGCCAGGCAGGGAACAGCAGGCGAGAGACUGUGUGGCUGGAGCAGGGGAACACAGGGUGGCUUUAGGAGGACUCAGAGUAACAGGGGGUCAAACUGAGCAGAGCUUUUACAUGAGAUGUGACGCCAUUGAGCAGGGACAUGACAUGAUUUUAUGUCUGUUUUGGUAGGAUCCCCCUGGGCUGUUGUGUUGAGAACAGGCAAGGCAAAGAUUUUCAACCUCAGUGCUACUGACCUUUUGAUCCAGACAGUUCUUUGUUGCAGAGGCCUGUCCUGUCCAUUGGAGGAUCUUCAGCAGCAUUUCUGGCCUCCACUCACCAGAUGCCUAUAGCAGCCUUUUCCCCAAUUAUGAAAGCCAAACACGUGUCCCUGCCCAGAUGCCAGAAUCGCUCCCAGUGCAUGGAGCUGAAGAACAGCAUGAUGACUGCUAGCAUCGCUGGUUCCAGGACCUCAUGCCAAGGAGCCGACAGUUUUACCCACUGUUGCCUUUGCACCAUCAGAGCAAAAGUCAAAAAGCAAAAGGAGUCUUCGUGUUAUUACGAAAAGAGUUUUGACCUUAUAAGACCUUUCCGGGGGUUCCAUAGACCAUACUUUGAGAACCACGGCCCUGUGCCAUCAGGAUGUCACGGUAAACAAGACAACAGUGGAGCUUACAUUCUAAUGAUGGAAGACAGGUGACAAGGAGUGAGGUAAACAGGGUGACUUUAUCGGGUGAUCAGCUCUGUGAAGAGCAUAAACAAGAAUGUAGAGGACGUCCCUGGUGGUCCAGUGGUUAGGACUCUGCACUCCCAUUACAGA